rnacentral:tRNA from 1 species
CGGGGCGUAGCGCAGUCUGGUAGCGCACUUGUCUGGGGGACAAGUGGUCGUGGGUUCGAAUCCCGCCGUCCCGACCA